UACGUAGGCAGCAAGCGUUGUUCGGAAUUACUGGGCGUAAAGAGUGUGUAGGCGGUUCUCUAAGUUCGGUGUGAAAUCUCCUGGCUUAACUGGGAGGGUGCGCCGGAAACUGGAGGGCUUGAGUAUGGGAGAGGAAGGCGGAAUUCCUGGUGUAGCGGUGAAAUGCGUAGAUAUCAGGAGGAACACCUGCGGUGUAGACAGCUUUCUGGACCAUCACUGACGCUGAGACACGAAAGCGUGGGUAGCAAACAGG
rnacentral:rRNA from 1 species